AGUGAACGCUGGCGGUAGGCCUAACACAUGCGAGUCGAACGGCAGCACAGUAAGAGCUUGCUCUUACGGGUGGCGAGUGGCGGACGGGUGAGGAAUACAUCGGAAUCUACUUUUUCGUGGGGGAUAACGUAGGGAAACUUACGCUAAUACCGCAUACGACCUACGGGUGAAAGCAGGGGAUCUUCGGACCUUGCGCGAUUGAAUGAGCCGAUGUCGGAUUAGCUAGUUGGCGGGGUAAAGGCCCACCAAGGCGACGAUCCGUAGCUGGUCUGAGAGGAUGAUCAGCCACACUGGAACUGAGACACGGUCCAGACUCCUACGGGAGGCAGCAGUGGGGAAUAUUGGACAAUGGGCGCAAGCCUGAUCCAGCCAUACCGCGUGGGUGAAGAAGGCCUUCGGGUUGUAAAGCCCUUUUGUUGGGUAAGAAAUCCAGCCGGCUAAUACCUGGUUGGGAUGACGGUACCCAAAGAAUAAGCACCGGCUAACUUCGUGCCAGCCGCCGCAGUAAAAC
rnacentral:rRNA from 1 species